rnacentral:tRNA from 1 species
GCCCGGAUGGUGGAAUUGGUAGACACGCUAGUUUCAGGAGCUAGUGCCGGUUUCGGCAUGGGGGUUCGAGUCCCCCUUCGGGCA